UUACGGCCAUAUCAUGUUGGACCAUCGGUUUUCGUAGGAUCACCGAAGUUAAACAACGUCGAACCUGGUCAGUAUCUAGAUGGGUGACCGCUUGUAAAUGCUAGGUGCUGUAAU